rnacentral:rRNA from 1 species
CCUACGGGGGGCAGCAGUGAGGAAUAUUGGUCAAUGGGCGCGAGCCUGAACCAGCCAAGUAGCGUGAGGGAUGACUGCCCUACGGGUUGUAAACUUCUUUUAUCAGGGAAUAAAGUGAGGCACGUGUGCCUUUUUGUGUGUACUUUAUGAAUAAGGAUCGGCUAACUCCGUGCCAGCAGCCGCGGUAAUACGGAGGAUCCGAGCGUUAUCCGGAUUUAUUGGGUUUAAAGGGAGCGUAGAUGGGUUGUUAAGUCAGUUGUGAAAGUUUGCGGCUCAACCGUAAAAUUGCAAUUGAUACUGGCAGCCUUGAGUACAGGUGAGGUAGGCGGAAUGCGUGGUGUAGCGGUGAAAUGCUUAGAUAUCACGCAGAACUCCGAUUGCGAAGGCAGCCUACUAACCUGCCACUGACAUUGAUGCUCGAAAGUGUGGGUAUCAAACAGGAUUAGAUACCCCGGUAGUC